GACAGAGGGCGCUAGCGUUGUUCGGAAUCACUGGGCGUAAAGCGCACGUAGGCGGAUUGUUAAGUCAGGGGUGAAAUCCCGAGGCUCAACCUCGGAAGUGCCUUUGAUACUGGCGAUCUAGAGUCCGGGAGAGGUGAGUGGAACUGCGAGUGUAGAGGUGAAAUUCGUAGAUAUUCGCAAGAACACCAGUGGCGAAGGCGGCUCACUGGCCCGGAACUGACGCUGAGGUGCGAAAGCGUGGGGAGCAAACAGG
rnacentral:rRNA from 1 species